GGUAGUCCACGCCGUAAACGGUGGGCGCUAGUUGUGCGAACCUUCCACGGUUUGUGCGACGCAGCUAACGCAUUAAGCGCCCCGCCUGGGGAGUACGAUCGCAAGAUUAAAACUCAAAGGAAUUGACGGGGCCCCGCACAAGCAGCGGAGCAUGCGGCUUAAUUCGACGCAACGCGAAGAACCUUACCAAGGCUUGACAUAUACAGGAAUACGGCAGAGAUGUCGUAGCCGCAAGGUCUGUAUACAGGUGGUGCAUGGUUGUCGUCAGCUCGUGUCGUGAGAUGUUGGGUUAAGUCCCGCAACGAGCGCAACCCUCGUUCUGUGUUGCCAGCAUUUAGUUGGGGACUCACAGGAGACUGCCGGGGUUAACUCGGAGGAAGGUGGGGAUGACGUCAAAUCAUCAUGCCCCUUAUGUCUUGGGCUGUACGCAUGCUACAAUGGCUGGUACAAACGGCUGCAAUACCGCAAGGUGGGGCGAAUCCGAGAAAGCCAGUCUCAGUUCGGAUUGGGGUCUGCAACUCGACCCCAUGAAGUCGGAGUUGCUAGUAAUCGUAGAUCAGCAACGCUACGGUGAAUACGUUCCCGGGGCUUGUACACACCGCCCGUCACAUCACGAAAGUCGGUAACACCCAAAGUCAGUGGCCCAACCGUAAG
rnacentral:rRNA from 1 species